GAUGAACGCUGGCGGCGUGCCUAAUACAUGCAAGUCGAGCGAAUGGAUUAAGAGCUUGCUCUUAUGAAGUUAGCGGCGGACGGGUGAGUAACACGUGGGUAACCUGCCCAUAAGACUGGGAUAACUCCGGGAAACCGGGGCUAAUACCGGAUAACAUUUUGAACCGCAUGGUUCGAAAUUGAAAGGCGGCUUCGGCUGUCACUUAUGGAUGGACCCGCGUCGCAUUAGCUAGUUGGUGAGGUAACGGCUCACCAAGGCAACGAUGCGUAGCCGAGCUGGGAGGCUGAUCGGCCACACUGGGACUGAGACACGGCCCAGACUCCUACGGGGGGCAGCAGUAGGGAAUCUUCCGCAAUGGACGAAAGUCUGACGGAGCAACGCCGCGUGAGUGAUGAAGGCUUUCGGGUCGUAAAACUCUGUUGUUAGGGAAGAACAAGUGCUAGUUGAAUAAGCUGGCACCUUGACGGUACCUAACCAGAAAGCCACGGCUAACUACGUGCCAGCCGCCGCCGUAA
rnacentral:rRNA from 1 species